GAACUGUUGAGGAGUCCCAUAAUAGGACGAAAUGGCCGUCCAGUGC
rfam:Schistosoma rodhaini strain Burundi genome assembly, scaffold: SROB_scaffold0000670